UCCCUUCCAACCCAAGCCAUUCUAUGAUUCUAUGGAAACAUUGGUAGGGAGCUGAACAAAGCACAGCCAGAGUGGUUGACUGAACCAGAACCUGGUUUCAGCCUCAUCUCACUUGGAAAAGUGCUUUCAGAUCUGGAGAAGUACUCUUUAACAAAGCAUUUUUUUUCUGCUUUCAAAUGGUAUGAGUUGGCCUAGUGAGAGCCACCAUCUCUCCCUACAAAUCUGGCUUCUGGAUUGUGCUCACACAACUCAAAUCCAUUUGUUACAUAUAAGAUUAGGCUUGGGCAGACUUCUGGUCAAUAUGUCGUAUGGGCUAUAUUUAGUCGGCCUAUUUGAGUUUUCAAGCCUACCAUGGCUUGUUCCUCUUCUGAAGUCACAGAGCCAGCCUACGAGAAAGAGGGGAGCGACGGGGUGGGCAGUGUUUAGCUUCAAUUUGAGUCUGUCUGGUCCUGGGUCGUUUGUCAGUGUUAUGUGUAACCAUAGAAUGUUAUUCUAAUUUAUGGAAAGCUUGUUUUAUUUCUGUGCUGCUGCCUCAUUGAAGAAUGGAAGGUUCUCCAUUUGCAUGGAAGAAAACUGAGACCCAUCUCAGGGGGCUAACUGUUGAUUUCUCUUACUAGGCCUCAAAAAAUGAGCUUAUUAGAACUAAGCAAAAAGGUGUCAUAUGUCUCCUGUAAAGAUUACUCCUUUCCUUUUGCCUCUGUGCUCUUGAGAGAGGUGGAUUUGAGGGCUAGCGGUCACAUAAAGCAUCUAGCCCUAAUGCAAGUUGCCCUUCUCUGCUUUCUCACAAAAUUGCCCUAUUCUUCAAAGGAGCAACCCUGAAACUUUACUCCAGUGUGGGAGUGUAAGUCUGCUUUCCAUGGUGAACCAGUGCUGUCACGUAUUAUUUCAUCGUCCACUUUUCAAAUUAUCUAUUUUUGUGGGGAAAAAAAUGACAUCAGGAUUCCUACCUUAGCAUGUCAUCUUAAAAUAACUUCCACUGCAAUUAUUGAAUGCCAAGAAGGAAAUUAUUUUUAACUUGCCGAGAGAUUUGUUCACAGCAUUUGGAAAUGUUAACCUUUGUAUACCAUUCCAUAUGUCUACCUGCCUUUUCUUCCACCAUGGUGAAGAACGAGCUCGUCAUUCACUCAAGAGGUCCAUGUCUCAUUUCUGGGCAAAUGACUGAAGUGCAACCCUAAAAGGACACUUUACAUCAAAGGUUGCAAAGAUGACACCAUGGCACUCUGUGCUUCUGUGUUUGAGCAAAAAACCAUCUGUCUGGAGUCUCUGGGGGAUCACAACUCAACCACUUCAAGGAAGGGGUCUUCUAGUGACUUAACCUCGUGAUUCUACAGAGGGUCUAUAGAUAGAAGUGUAUGCUCUCUAGCUCAUGGCUGCAUCUGACCAGCUGUAGAAAAUCCAAUUGUACCGGAAGGCAAAGGGACCACAAGGGCGUAGGAAGAAGCUGUGAUACCAGCUGUGCAUUGAGUCAGUAAGCUUCCCCAGCAGCCUCCACUUGACUUGAAAUCUGCCAUGCCUUGAUGGACAUCUGAGAAGAGAGUGAGGUCCCAGAGAGGCUGCCUACGAAUUCAGGCAGCAGUAUAUCAAGAUGAGAAAUGUAUAAACAGCAGAGAUGCUGGAGGUCUGCGUCCCCAGUCAAACAGGUACAAACAAGACUAUGGAGUUAGAUAUAUGUAACAGCUCAUUUGCAGAGAAAUAUCCCCUACAAGACAGGAAGAUGCUGCUUCUAAUCACACAGCCGAAGUGCGACGUUGUGAGACUGAAAUGGACAACCGAACCAUAUGAUCAGCCUUCUUUUAUGAGAACACUAUGUCAGUCAGUCAGUUUAUGACCUGAAAUUACAUGGGAAGAGUCUGAUCCUGGCCCCGCUGAAUGCAAAGAGGAGAUGCAGCUUUGGAGCUCCUGCCAUCAUCACAUCCUCGACCUUUUGUGUGUCAUUAGCUUGAGACUGAAGUUGUCCUGUCCCUCCCGACCUCUCAGCGGGAGCUGAGCUGAGCAGCACCGCGGGCACCCAGCGCCCAGGUCCUUCCUGUGUCAGAGGCCUCGGUGGGCUCAGCACAUGUUUGCAGUGGCAACCAAGGGUCCCUCAGCACCAACUAUGGAGGACAUUGCCAUCCCGGUGCCCUCUCUAAGGCCGCUGUAGCCCCAGCUAUGCAGACUCUGAUGCCUUCUCUCAGCACAGCCCCUGGGCUGCCAGAGCUGUGGUGGCUGUCACUGACCGAUGCCAUGGAUGUGCUGCCAUAUCUAACAGCAGCUGUCUUCUCAUCCCAGCUGGGAUAGAGAAGUGCCCUACAGAAGACAAGGCUGCGGUGAGGAUAAACCCAAACUGGUGAGCCGUUCCGGUAGCAAUGGGACCGUGAAGGCGGCGAGCGCUCGGAGCCAUCCGCCCGCAGCGGGAGGCCGCUGGGCUCUCACCGCGCUCCGUUCGGGGCCGUUGGGAGGCUCCUGCCGGGCUCCCCCGGCUUCUCGGAGCCGUCGUAGCGCCGCCGUGGUGUUUUCGGAGGGGGCUGCAGCUCGGUUCCACGGUCCUAGCGCAGCCCGGGGCCUUAUAGCGGGGUCUUCAGUUCCUCCCACUCAUCGUUGGGAGCAAGCGGGACAGGGCCGUAUCCCGCCAGGCUCAGUGCUGCUGAAACCAGUUUUCUCCUAUUGCAGGCCGAGCGAAGGCUGCAGUGGACCCUUUCAUCAGUCUGAACUGCUGAGAUGGUGGAAGCAGUGAGUGUUUGAGGGUCACUAGGUUAAGUCUCUUCUUGAGGCUCGUGUAAGGCUGCUGCCCAGCUCCAACAUGGCUUUUUAGAGGUGGUCGGUGCUGCCGAACUGCUGAGACCGAGUGCCACCCUGGGGGUGGCCUUGGCCCCCCGGAAGGGUUUUGCAGGUGUUUUGGGCUCUCCUGCUUCCAGCGGUGGAAGCAAGCAGGCUAUGUAUUUCACCACCCUCCCUCAUUUGUAAUUUUAAGAGCGUGAUCUCCAUCCCAUCAUGGAGAUGGGGUGGGACAGCUUGCAUGACUGGAAUGCUGUUGUGGAUGGCCUGUUCUUUUCCAGAGAGAUGGACAGGUGAGGCAGCGGAGUUGCUCUUCCAUUGAGGGAACAGGAAUGUAUUGAGCUAUGCCUAGGGAUGAAUGAGGAACUCAGGGAGCGCUGGCGUGUGAGGCUCAAGAGGCAGUGAAUGUGGGUAACAUCACUGGAUGUGUUGGUUAAAGAUGAGGAAGUUAAGAUCUCCAGCACACAGCUGACAGUAGCCUCAGGGCUGCGGGCAUUAGUUUUCACAGUAGACUCGAACCACCCUGCCAGUUGUUGGUAAAGCAAUACUGCCAGGUAUACCUCAUUCCAAGAGGCUUCUGCAGGAGACAGAAUUUCUGACACAGGUGAUGGAGAAGCCAGUGAGGAGAGAAGUGCUGCUGGAGCUUGUACUCUGUAUUGAGGAAGGGCUGGCUGGGGAUGUGAAGACUAGGGUGACCUGAAGUGCAGCAGCUGUGAGAUGGUUAAUUUUGGGAUGUCACAUGGAAGAUGCAAAGCAGUAAGUAGGAUUGAAACACCGUAGACAUUGAGGGAACCAACUUUGUCCUCUUAAAGGAUCUGCUUGGAGGUAUCCCUUGGGCUGGAGCAUUGGAAGGGCUCCUGCUACUGGUUCUUGACUUUCAUGCAUAACUUCCUUUGUGCUCAGUAGGGUGCAUGCCUAUGAGUAAGAAAUAGAGCAGCAAUGGCAGGAGCCCUGCAGGAGCAAAUGAGGAGGUCAUAGGUAGAAUCACAGAAUCGCUAAGGUUGGAAAAGACCCACAGGAUCAUCCAGUCCAACCAUUUGCCCAUCACCAAUGGUUCUCACUAAACCAUGUCCCUCAACACAAC